GUAGAGAUGGUUCAAGGGUUAAGAGUGCUGGCUGUUCUUCCAGAGAACCUGGGUUCAAUUCCCAGUACCUACA
rnacentral:tRNA from 1 species